GCCGAGAUAGCUCAGCUGGGAGAGCAACAGACUGAAGUUAGUUUGAUUUCUGGAGGUCGGGCGUUCGAUCCGCCCUCUUGGCA
rnacentral:tRNA from 1 species